AGUGGGAGCUKARSAWUUUUKUCCGKAGKUAACCUGSGUAAGGAUCRUKGUCGUGACSCUGACCAAAAUAGACSGUGCACGCGUCAUCCAGCCRMGSSGGSGGCGGCACCGUUCGUCGCUCGGCCAAGUCCUCGACAACCUCCUCUCCUCGGAGUGGGGGCUCGGGGUAAAAGAACCCACGACGCCUAAGGCGUCAAGGAACACUGUGCCUAGCCCGGGGACGCGGACGGCUUGCUGGCCGCCCCCCGUGCUGCAAUGCUAUUUAAUCCACACGACUCUCGGCAACGGAUAUCUCGGCUCUCGCAUCGAUGAAGAACGUAGCGAAAUGCGAUACCUGGUGUGAAUUGCAGAAUCCCGCGAACCAUCGAGUCUUUGAACGCAAGUUGCGCCCGAGGCCAUUCGGCUGAGGGCACGCCUGCCUGGGCGUCACGCAAAACACGCUCCCACACCCUCAUCGGGUAGCGGGACGCGGCWUGUGGUYCCCCGUAGCGCAAGCUGCGGUGGGCCGAAGAUAUGGCUGCCGGCGUAUCGUGCCGGACACAGCGCGUGGUGGGCGACCUCGCUUUACUUACCGCAGUGCAUCCGGGGCGUAGCCGACGUGAUGGCCUCUAAGGACCCUUUGAACGGUGCGCACGACGCUCCGACCGCGACCCCAGGUCAGGCGGGACUACCCGCUGAAUUUAAGCAUAUCAAUAAGCGGAGAGG
rnacentral:rRNA from 1 species